AACGUAGGAGGCAAACGUUAUCCGGAGUUACUGGGCGUAAAGGGCGUGUAGGUGGUUUCGUAAGUCUGGCGUGAAAUUUCUCGGCUUAACCGAGGCAGGUCGUCGGAUACUGCGGAACUUGAGGACGGUAGAGGCGUGUGGAAUUCCGGGUGUAGUGGUGAAAUGCGUAGAGAUCCGGAGGAACACCAGUGGCGAAGGCGACACGCUGGGCCGUACCUGACACUGAUGCGCGGCAGCAUGGGGAGCAAACAGG
rnacentral:rRNA from 1 species